CCUACGGGAGGCAGCAGUGGGGAAUCUUGCGCAAUGGGCGAAAGCCUGACGCAGCCAUGCCGCGUGAAUGGUGAAGGUCUUAGGAUUGUAAAAUUCUUUCACCGGGGACGAUAAUGACGGUACCCGGAGAAGAAGCCCCGGCUAACUUCGUGCCAGCAGCCGCGGUAAUACGAAGGAGGCUAGCGUUGCUCGGAAUUACUGGGCGUAAAGGGAGCGUAGGCGGAUAGUUUAGUCAGAGGUGAAAGCCCAGGGCUCAACCUUGGAAUUGCCUUUGAUACUGGCUAUCUUGAGUUUGGGAGAGGUGAGUGGAACUCCGAGUGUAGAGGUGAAAUUCGUAGAUAUUCGGAAGAACACCAGUGGCGAAGGCGACUCACUGGCCCAAUACUGACGCUGAGGCUCGAAAGCGUGGGGAGCAAAACAGGAUUAGAUACCCUGGUAGUCCACGCCGUAAACGAUGAGUGCUAGUUGUCGGCAUGCAUGCAUGUCGGUGACGCAGCUAAACGCAUUAAGCACUCCGCCUGGGGAGUACGGUCGCAAAGAUUAAAAACUACAAAAGUUAAGUUAAGUAGACGGNGNGAGAGNGACGACGACGACGACGAGGAGGAG
rnacentral:rRNA from 1 species